rnacentral:rRNA from 2 species
AGCAUAGCGAUUUGGGAUAAGUCUCUUGGAAAAGAGCAGCAUCGAGGGUGAUACUCCCGUUUGUGCCUUUGUGAUUUGUACGUACGACACGUUUUCUUUGAGUCGCGUUGUUUGGGAAUGCAGCGCAAAGUAGGUGGUAAAUUCCAUCUAAAGCUAAAUAUUGGUGCGAGACCGAUAGCGAACAAGUACCGUGAGGGAAAGAUGAAAAGAACUUUGAAAAGAGAGUUAAAGAGUACCUGAAACUGCUGAAAGGGAAUCGAAUCGUUUCUAGUGUCUAUGAUCCAUGACAUAUUUCAUUGUUGAUUGUGUGCGUGUAAUGUUUAUUGAUGUGGAUUCGUUCUGCUCUGAAUGUUAUUGUGCGUGCGAUUGAUGUUGCCCUGUGUUGUGGUGGGACGUCAAAGUCAGUUCGUAUACUGCGGGAAAUGACUGUUGAGAAGGUAGUUUUCACUUGUGAAUCUGUUAUAUCUUGAUGGUUGAGUAGUCGUGGUUGAGACUGAGGUGCC